ACCACUGUACAGAUUGAUGCAUC
rnacentral:siRNA from 1 species